UAGGGAAUCUUCCGCAAUGGACGAAAGUCUGACGGAGCAACGCCGCGUGAGUGAAGAAGGAUUUCGGUUCGUAAAACUCUGUUGUUAGGGAAGAAAAAAUGUAUAGUAACUAUAUACAAAAGAGACGGUACCUAACCAGAAAGCCACGGCUAACUACGUGCCAGCAGCCGCGGUAAUACGUAGGUGGCAAGCGUUGUCCGGAAUUAUUGGGCGUAAAGCGCGCGCAGGUGGUUUAGAAAGUCGGAUGUGAAAGCCCACGGCUCAACCGUGGAGGGUCAUUGGAAACUAAUAAACUUGAGUGCAGGAGAGAAAAGUGGAAUUCCUAGUGUAGCGGUGAAAUGCGUAGAGAUUAGGAGGAACACCGGUGGCGGAAGCAGCUUUUUGGCCUGCAACUGACACUGAGGCGCGAAAGCGUGGGGAGCAAACAGG
rnacentral:rRNA from 1 species